AGAACGAACGCUGGCGGCAUGCCUAAUACAUGCAAGUCGAACGAACACUUCGGUGUUAGUGGCGCACGGGUGCGUAACGCGUGGGAAUCUGCCCUUGGGUUCGGAAUAACAGUUGGAAACGACUGCUAAUACCGGAUGAUAUCGAAAGAUCAAAGAUUUAUCGCCCAGGGAUGAGCCCGCGUAGGAUUAGCUAGUUGGUGAGGUAAAGGCUCACCAAGGCGACGAUCCGUUAGCUGGUCUGAGAGGAUGAUCGAGCCACACGUGGGACUGAGACACGGCCCAGACUCCGUACGGGAGCAGCAGUAGGGAAUAGUGGACAAGUGGGCGACGAACGCCUAGAUCCAAGCAAUGCCGCGUAGAGUGAUGAAGGUCCGUUAGGGUUAGUAAAGCUU
rnacentral:rRNA from 1 species